ensembl:lncRNA
GGGGAAGAGAAAAAGUUGGCCCACGACCCUGGGAAUAUCAUGUGAAGCAUCCAGAAAUAUCCUAGAUGGCUGGAGCAGAAGCCCAGGCUCAGAAACCUCCACUGACAGAGGAGGGGAGAAGACUUAGUGGAGGAGAGCGAGACUAACCAGAGAGGAAAACUUUUGCCUUUGGAUAACUAAGAACUAUGGGGAAAGAUCCAAUAUGGCAGUUGCCAGCAUGUCCAUGCCUGGCUCCACAACCAACCUAGAAUCAGAUGUUACAUAGUAAAUGUAAAUCUGUCUCUCUCCAUUUAGUCAUUACAACGUAGCUAUAGCCAAUAUGACAUAUGGGCAACAAUUGCCAGUGACGAGCCCAUCAAGGACCUGAUUGGUGAACCACUGAUCCAUUCACAGCUUUGGCUGUUGACAAGGUUAGGGACUACCACACACAGUGCUUUUAAUAUACAGUGUUUUCAACUUACAUAUUUUAAAUAUAUAAUUGCAUUGUGUAUGUUCAUUUACAGUAAUUAUUAUUCAACGUGUUCUCACCUGGAAUUUAAACUCACAACCUUGUGGUUCACAGAUUUCCAAUCUUCCUGUUACGCCACCGUGUCUGUGUCAACGCCAGCUUUCACCUGUAUUGUUACACUUUGCACUUCAAAGUAAAUCUCAGAUCUUUUAAAAAUACACGGAAGAAAAACAAGUUUAUUUUUUACAGUGAUUCAGGAGUAACAUUAAAAAACAUUAGAUAGCUAACUAUACAGUACAUUGCAAAGCCUCAAAUGGCUGAAAUAAGUCAAUCAAAUCACUGAUGAGAGAUUAGUCUGAUUAAAACUUCUUCGGGAUCAGUGUCCCUUCCAC